GUUCGGUCCCUAUCCGCUGCGCGCGCAGGAAAUUUGAGAAGGGCUGUCCUUAGUACGAGAGGACCGGGACGGACGAACCUCUGGUGUGUCAGUUGUACUGCCAAGUGCACCGCUGAUUAGCUACGUUCGGAUGGGAUAACCGCUGAAAGCAUCUAAGCGGGAAGCUCGCUUCGAGAUGAGAUUUCCAUACACCUUGUGUGUGAGAGGCCCCCAGCCAGACCACUGGGUUGAUAGGCCGGAUGUGGAAGCGAGGACUAACGACUCGUGAAGCUGACCGGUACUAAUAGGCCGAUAACUUACACCACACA
rnacentral:rRNA from 1 species